GAUGAACGCUGGCGGCGUGCCUAAUACAUGCAAGUCGAGCGAACAGACGAGGAGCUUGCUCCUCUGACGUUAGCGGCGGACGGGUGAGUAACACGUGGAUAACCUACCUAUAAGACUGGGAUAACUUCGGGAAACCGGAGCUAAUACCGGAUAAUAUAUUGAACCGCAUGGUUCAAUAGUGAAAGACGGUUUUGCUGUCACUUAUAGAUGGAUCCGCGCCGCAUUAGCUAGUUGGUAAGGUAACGGCUUAUCAAGGCUACGAUGCGUAGCCGACCUGAGAGGGUGAUCGGCGACACUGGAGCUGAGACGCGGUCCAGACUCCUACGGGAGGCAGCAGUAGGGAAUCUUCCGCAAUGGGCGGAAGCCUGACGGAGCAACGCCGCGUGAGUGAUGAAGGUCUUCGGAUCGUAAAACUCUGUUAUUAGGGAAGAACAAAUGUGUAAGUAACUAUGCACGUCUUGACGGUACCUAAUCAGAAAGCCACGGCUAACUACGUG
rnacentral:rRNA from 1 species